CCUCCUGUUCUGUUCCCCACUCUGUCUCUGGUGAAUCCUCUCACCACCCCCCCACACCCCUGGCCUGUACCCCAGCUCUUGUACGCAGAAAUAAAUCUUUAAAAAAAAAGAAGUUUCUAGGGAAGUGCUGGGUUUUGAGGGCCAUUUCAACCACGAGUGGAAAGGUGGCGGAUUCUUUUCCUGCUUUGGGAUUCAGUUCCCCCCACCCUGUAAGACGGGAGAGGGAGACCACAAGAAACUCAGGACUCUGUUUUGAGAAUUGCUUGCGUUUCCGGACACAGUUUUAUUAAAGCCGAAUCUGAAGCCCUGCACAAAGGUUCCCACUCAGGAGCAAUGCAUGUUUGCCUGUGAGCUACACUCGGAAUGCCAGAGGGAUCAGCACUGCUGCACUGCCUCCUGCGGGAAUGUCUGCAUGCUUCUCAGAGAAACGGAGAAUAAAAUCAGAAGCUUGAGUCCAAAGUUGAACCCUUAAACCACCACAGAGAGUUGGAGCAUCCCUGGAGGCUGGACAGAGUGGGACCUGGCCUCCUGCAGGACCACCUCUCACCCCGGCUGUGGGGGCCGAGUGGAUGUCUCUCCUAUCUGCCCACCCUCUUCCCUGAGCUAUGAUGUGAUCAAAUAAGCUGUGAUAAUAACCCAGGAACUUUUUCUUUUUCUAGAGUCCCAGGGUCAUUUGCUGCACACCACCCUUUUCCUAAACUCCCAGCCCCUGCCUCCUGGUUUGAACCUCCCUGCCUUCUAUUUCUUUGGGGGCUUCACCUACUUAGCUGGGACUCCUGUUCAUUGAGUGACACCCUGGGGAAACCUGCUUCUGUGUGGGAUGUUCUUAAAGCUAUGGAAACACUGUCUCUCUGGGAUUUCCAUAAAUUAGUGCAGCCUCUCUCCCAUGGUCUCAG